CUUGAUCGAGCCGAGCCAGAGCGGCCGCUCGGCGGUGUGGGCCUUGCCGUAGAUCGACAGCAGCGCCUGCGCCUC
rnacentral:antisense_RNA from 1 species